GAGCCGAUGACGUCAGCGGUUUUCUAAGGUGAGUAGUCCACUAUUUUCACGCAGUUGUAAAAUCCUCUUUACACCUUUUGUUUUGAGCAAACUCUUUACAUAGAAAACGGUAAGAUGUGGGAAUACUCUGAUGUUAUGAACGCGGUAAAUAACAUUAUAAAUGUGUUCAGAUUCAUAAGGACAGAUCACAAUGUUUGAUAAAUAUGUGUUUCUAUCAGCAAACAGUCAGAAUAAAGUGAGCUGAUCUGCUGCUGAUCCUGAAUGUCUUGUUUAAUGAGUGUUUAUAGUCUCAUCAAUAUUAUCAGCUGAUCAAAAUCCUCUUUAUUUCAUGAUAAUAGAUCCUGUUUUCACCUCAUUCAUUAUACUGAUGACUUCAGAUCUGUUCAUUGACACAUUAAGAUCAUUUUAUUGCUGUCAAGAUCAGAAAACAACACGUUAUCAGUUAUUGUGACAUUACAAGAUGAAACUAUCACAACAGCAUUUAUUCAUUAGUCUGUGAUAAACCAUGUUUCAUAUAAAACAAAAAACUAAAACACAUUCAGUUCAACUCAAUUCAGUGGUGCUUUAUUUUUACCUUGCAAAUUUGUUAAAUUAUAGAGUGAAGUUUUCCCUGGAAACCACAAUUGAAAAUUUGACAUUUUUAAGUGUUAAAACGAGUAGUUCAUAUACAUUUUAGUUUUAUAUUUGAUAUAUUGUCAAAGUUGACUGUUUUUGCUCCAUUUGGUUAAUGAAAACGCUUCCAAACGCUUCUCUGAGCAACACACAGCAGUGUUUCGUUACUGAAGGAUUCGUGUUUGUGAAUUUUGAAUCAUUUGAGUCAAUGAUUCAGUUCUCCAUUUAUAAAGACAUGCACUGUGUCUCAAUGUUCAUACUAUCAUCCUAAAUAGUGUGUGAGAUUAGAAGAAGUGUAUAGAAAUAUAAUGCAGGAACCAGUUAAAUGUCCUUGUUAGUUUUUAUCAUAUUUAGUCAACCUUAUCCUGUUUAGUUUUAGUCGACUGAAAGUCUCAACAUUUUAGUCUAGUUUUAGUCAAUGAAAACUUGACAUUUUAGCAGUAAGAUUAUUAUUAAUUAACCACACAGCAGUAUUAAGUUUGGCAGCCAUUUUUUAAUUCAGUCUUAGUUUUACUCAAAUGUACAUUUUAAUUAUCAUAUUUAGUCAACCCGGUCCUGUUUUUGUUUAGUCAAGUUUAAGAAAACGAAAUGUAUGAGCAUUUUAGUCAGAUUGUAUAUUGGCUAAACCGAUCAGAAUUAUUUUUGCUCUAAAUUAUAAUCGUAAUGUUUGUUGUUAUUUGAGAAAUGUACUUUUGUGUUUCAGGUAUUGCUCUUUCACCAGUAAACACAAAGCAACAGAAUGUGGACUCAUACACAUGGUUUAUUUAAUCUCAUGUAAUGUGCUGAUUUAUUAGGCUUUUUAUUAUAUAAAAUAACACCAAAGACUUAUGCACUCAGUCUGUCUAUAAAAUGAAAACUGGUGAAACAAAGAAAAAUAUGAUAACAGUGAAAUUCCUAAUAGUUAUUCCACUAUUUCCAAAUUGCAGCAUUGCAUUGUCAGCGACAGCAUUUGAAGAUUGAUUUAUAAAAAUCAUUUCAGGUUUAAGAAGUGUUUCAACAUUGCAUCAACUACUGAUGAACACAUUGAUUUUUAUUUGAAUCAUCACUCUGUAGUUUAUUUUAUCAUGUAUUACUGUGUAUUUGGAAGACGUUUGUCUUUCAAACACAUUAAAACACACAAAUUUACAAACUUUUGUCAUCUGAUCCUCUUUCACCAAAUAUAUUUACUUGAAGUACCCCUGAGAUUUAAAAUAUAUAUAUUUUAAUAAUUAUCACAUUUGCAUGUUCAUGAUUUUUUGAUGUUGGUUAUGUCCACAUGACAUGCAGGUAAACAAAUGAAAUGUUAAACUUUUUUAGUAAGAUUUUAUUUUGAUUGGUUUUAAAAUUAUUUUUUUUAAUGUAUCAUUUUUUUUAUGAUUUAAUUAAUUAGCUUUUUAUUAAAGUCACAAACCCCAGUUUGGGAAACCUUGAUGUAAUGUUUAAUGCACUUCAUGUUAAUAACAACAAAUGGAAUAUAUAUAUUUAUUAGGCAUGGGCAGGUAUGAGAUUUUGAUGGUAUGAUAACCUUAAGCAAACAUAUCACGGUUUCACAGUAUUGUUGUUACAGCUCUGAAUUGAUUGAGAAUCAUGAGUCAGUUCGGGAGUUCAAAGCGGGUUCGCGAAUCAUUUGAGUCAGUUUGGGGAUCGCGAAUCAUCUGAAUCAGUUCGGGAGUUCGUAGCGGGAUCGCGAAUCAUUUGAAUCAGUUCGGGAGUUCGAAGCGGGAUCGCGAAUCAUUUGAAUCAGUUCGGGAGUUCGAAGCGGCUUCGCGAAUCAUUUGAGUCUGUUCGGGAGUUCAAAGCGGGUUCGCGAAUCAUUUGAGUCAGUUUGGAGAUCGCGAAUCAUACACAGCAAAAAUUGGAGUUUAUUUCAACACCCAAAGAGUAAUUUUAACACAUUCAGAGUAAAAUGGUGUUUGGUGUUGGAGUUAUUUCACAGAGUUGAUCAUCAGUGUUAAACAAACUCCACAGAGACGUAAUUAGACUCCGCCCACGCAUUUCCAAUCGUCGCUGGUGAAAUCCAUGAAGACUUUGCCAUUAUCCUCGUGUGGCUUUGAAAGGUAAGAUAAAUUUAAUCAUACUUUUACAUUUAUGAUUGGUGCUUAUUCAGUAGAGAAUGUACAGCAUAACGUGCUAUGGAGCACUGUGCAUAAACGUAUAUUAGGCUGUGUGUGCGCGUUCGCUUCCACAUUUCAAGUUAACGUACAUCGUGGCAGCGGUUUACGCUCGAGCUUUUCGAUUUAACAGCUUGGUCUCUAAUUAAUAUGCUUUACCGAAUUAAUAAAACGAGCGAUCUUUUACAAAGCUUCGUUUAUUGCCAUCAUCGACGUGAUUAGCUUCGUUAGCUAGCUAAGUUACUGUACGAACAGCAGAAGUAUGUGAAGCUGGACUGCAUUUAAGAGAGGUUUAACUUUAUGCAAUUUCACAUCAAAGGUUGUUUUUUUUUUCUUACUCCUUUAAAAUAACUAAGAAUUUGAUUAAAAUCUGAUAAAUUCUGUGUAUUGUGUUGUUGCCUCAUUUCUGUAUUUGCCUUUAUCACAUAAUUUUCUGUAGAAGGGGAUGUAUUGAUAAAAUAAAAAUUAUUCAUAUUUACAUUUUGCUUGCAUCAUAAAAAAAAUGUUUUCGGAUCAGACAUUUGUUGUGAAGCAAGAAAGGGCUUCAACUUAAAUAAUUUUUUCUUCUUUUUUCAGUCAUUGAGAAAUUUUGCUUGCCACCUAAUGCAAAAGUUACAUACAAGGAUGCAACAGGGACAGAAGUCGAUGCAGAAAUAUUCAGCGACCUCAUUGGACAAGGCAAUGUGGUGCUGACUGUUUUCUCAAAUGAUGACUCUUUGUCUUCCAUAUCUGAGAAGUCUGACAAAAGCAACAGUUCAAGUGCAUCGACUGUAAUCUUUCAUGAGGUCCCUAACAAGAGACAAAGAAAAGAGGACACAUCUGCACUGUCUGCAAAACAGGCAACUCCCUACUUAAGCUAUCAGAGAACAGUAUGCUGUUUGCAUAGUGAUACUGUUCCCUCAAAGAUCCAUAUUCCAAGAAAGGCUACGAACACUUUUAUGAUGCUGCAAGCAACACAGGAUACAUUGCUUGGCAUAUGAAAACAGUCCACAGGAAGAUGAGACGAGGAUCUUUGCCACUAGACAGCCCUCAUGAUGUUUCUCCAGGAGGCCCAAAAUGCCAAAAAGCUACUAAUUUUGAAGGGCAACUUGAUGGGAGUGCUUGCAGAGAGGCCAUGUCUUUGCUCAGCCACACUACAGAGAAGUCCCUAAUAUUCCAAAAGAUGAGAGAGACCUUUCAGCAUCGCCAAGAGCUUAUUAAAGAUCCAGGCUCUAGUGUUGAUAUCCUCUCCACAUUCCCAUGAUUCAUAGAUACAAAAGGCCUGGUUGGUCAAGACUUCACUCUCCUGUUUGACACCGAGACAUCCUCCAGGCUGCUUCAGAAGAGGGACACAUUCUUCAGGCCAAAUGUCAACAAAGACACCAAGCAACUUACUUCAACAGCAGAGAUGAGUCAGUUGUUGCUCUCAGCAGAACGUCCUGAAGGAAGUGACCUUCAUGAGACAAUUUUUUCUUCAUGUGAAUUUCGUCUUUAGUUUACGACCGGGAAAUGGCAUCCCUUCUUUAACUGAUACAUCUCCUUCCACCAUCAACAGGAGGAUUGAAGUCUCCAAAAACAGUCCAUGUGAUGCUGCUGAAAGACUUGUAAUCUUUCAUAAGUUUAGUCAUGCUGCAGUUUGGAGGAGCCCCUCAACAACAUCCAGCAUCAGCAUCCCUACCUCCUUGCUGUUGGACGCCAGAAAAGCAAGACUGAGUGCUUCUACAUCAUCUUGGAUAAGCAUCUCAUCCCAUGCCAGGCAAACCCCCUCCCCCCUUGGAGCAUUUGAUGAACUUUUCAAGGCACAUUUUGAGUUAAAUUUGUCCUAUGAUGGUGCACUUCUGAACUUUUUUACACAUUCCUGCAGACAACAGUGUAUAACAUUGAUGAAAGUAAAAUGGAGUCUCCCAGGGUUAGAGAUUUGAGAGCAGUAUGAUGUUGACAGAAUGCUAAUUUAUUUGUCAAAAAGAGCACCCAGACAGUCAACAGUUGAUUUCAUAUUUAAGAGGUGAGAAUAACAAAUAAACAAGUCAUUGGCAAAUAUUUUGUGUGCUGUUGUUUAUUUAACACUAUUUUGUAUAUCUUUGGAGACUGUACAGAUUUAACCACCUAAAACAUGCAACUCUGAACAGUGUUGUUUUUCUGUAUCCCUUUUAAUGUUAUUUUAACACUUUUUUUUUGGCGACAAAUUGGUAAC